rnacentral:rRNA from 1 species
AAAUUGAAGAGUUUGAUCAUGGCUCAGAUUGAACGCUGGCGGCAGGCCUAACACAUGCAAGUCGAACGGUAGCACAGAGAGCUUGCUCUCGGGUGACGAGUGGCGGACGGGUGAGUAAUGUCUGGGAAACUGCCUGAUGGAGGGGGAUAACUACUGGAAACGGUGGCUAAUACCGCAUAACGUCGCAAGACCAAAGAGGGGGACCUUCGGGCCUCUUGCCAUCAGAUGUGCCCAGAUGGGAUUAGCUUGUUGGUGAGGUAACGGCUCACCAAGGCGACGAUCCCUAGCUGGUCUGAGAGGAUGACCAGCCACACUGGAACUGAGACACGGUCCAGACUCCUACGGGAGGCAGCAGUGGGGAAUAUUGCACAAUGGGCGCAAGCCUGAUGCAGCCAUGCCGCGUGUAUGAAGAAGGCCUUCGGGUUGUAAAGUACUUUCAGCGGGGAGGAAGGUGUUGUGGUUAAUAACCGCAGCAAUUGACGUUACCCGCAGAAGAAGCACCGGCUAACUCCGUGCCAGCAGCCGCGGUAAUACGGAGGGUGCAAGCGUUAAUCGGAAUUACUGGGCGUAAAGCGCACGCAGGCGGUCUGUCAAGUCGGAUGUGAAAUCCCCGGGCUCAACCUGGGAACUGCAUUCGAAACUGGCAGGCUUGAGUCUUGUAGAGGGGGGUAGAAUUCCAGGUGUAGCGGUGAAAUGCGUAGAGAUCUGGAGGAAUACCGGUGGCGAAGGCGGCCCCCUGGACAAAGACUGACGCUCAGGUGCGAAAGCGUGGGGAGCAAACAGGAUUAGAUACCCUGGUAGUCCACGCCGUAAACGAUGUCUACUUGGAGGUUGUGCCCUUGAGGCGUGGCUUCCGGAGCUAACGCGUUAAGUAGACCGCCUGGGGAGUACGGCCGCAAGGUUAAAACUCAAAUGAAUUGACGGGGGCCCGCACAAGCGGUGGAGCAUGUGGUUUAAUUCGAUGCAACGCGAAGAACCUUACCUGGUCUUGACAUCCACAGAAGAAUCCAGAGAUGGAUUUGUGCCUUCGGGAACUGUGAGACAGGUGCUGCAUGGCUGUCGUCAGCUCGUGUUGUGAAAUGUUGGGUUAAGUCCCGCAACGAGCGCAACCCUUAUCCUUUGUUGCCAGCGGUUAGGCCGGGAACUCAAAGGAGACUGCCAGUGAUAAACUGGAGGAAGGUGGGGAUGACGUCAA